rnacentral:misc_RNA from 1 species
GAUGAAGAACGUAGCGAACUGCGAUAAGUAAUGUGAAUUGCAGAAUUCAGUGAAUCAUCGAGUCUUUGAACGCACAUUGCGCCCCCUGGCAUUCCGGGGGGCAUGCCUGUCCGAGCGUCAUUGCUGCCCUUCAAGCCCGGCUUGUGUGUUGGGUCGUCGUCCCCCCCGGGGGACGGGCCCGAAAGGCAGCGGCGGCACCGCGUCCGGUCCUCGAGCGUAUGGGGCUUUGUCACCCGCUCGAUUAGGGCCGGCCGGGCGCCAGCCGGCGUCUCCAACCUUCUAUUUUACCAGGUUGACCGCGGAUCAGGUAGGGAUACCCGCUGAACUUAAGCAUAUCAAUAAGCGGAGGA